CGAACGCUGGCGGCGUGGAUAAGACAUGCAAGUCGAGCGAGAUUUUUUCCUGUAGCAAUACAGGGAAAAGUCUAGCGGCGAACGGGUGCUUAACACGUGGGCAACCUGCCAGGAAGUGAGGGAUAGCUCGCCGAAAGGCGAAUUAAUACCGCAUGUGAUUAGAGAGGACAUCCUUUCGAAAUUAAAGUCGGGGCAACCUGGCGCUUCUUGUGGGGCCCGCGGCCUAUCAGCUAGUUGGUGAGGUAACGGCUCACCAAGGCUUUGACGGGUAGCUGGUCUGAGAGGACGACCAGCCACACUGGGACUGAGACACGGCCCAGACACCUACGGGUGGCAGCAGUCGAGAAUUUUUGACAAUGGGGGAAACCCUGAUCGAGCGACGCCGCGUGGAGGAUGAAGGUCUUCGGAUUGUAAACUCCUGUCAUUGGGGAACAAUGCGUGACGGUUAACUGCCGUCGCGUUGAUAGUACCCGAAGAGGAAGAGACGGCUAACUCUGUGCCAGCAGCCGCGGUAAUACAGAGGUCUCAAGCGUUGUUCGGAUUCAUUGGGCGUAAAGGGUGCGUAGGCGGCGCGGUAAGUCGGGUGUGAAAUCUCGGAGCUUAACUCCGAAACUGCAUUCGAUACUGCCGUGCUUGAGGACUGGAGAGGAGACUGGAAUUUACGGUGUAGCGGUGAAAUGCGUAGAUAUCGUAAGGAAGACCAGUGGCGAAGGCGGGUCUCUGGACAGUUCCUGACGCUGAGGCACGAAGGUCAGGGGAGCAAACGGGAUUAGAUACCCCGGUAGUCCUGACAGUAAACGGUGCACGUUUGGUGUGGGAGGAUUCGACCCCUUCUGCGCCGGAGCUAACGCGUUAAACGUGCCGUCUGGGGAGUACGGUCGCAAGAUUAAACUCAAAG
rnacentral:rRNA from 1 species